rnacentral:piRNA from 1 species
UAUUCUUGCUUCAAGCCAGAUGACAAGGUGU